rnacentral:rRNA from 1 species
UACACGGGGUGCAAACGUUGCUCGGAAUUAUUGGGCGUAAAGCGCACGUAGGCGGUUCGUUAAGUCGGAUGUGAAAGCCCUCGGCUCAACUGAGGAAGUGCACCCGAAACUGGCGAGCUUGAGUACGAAAGAGGAUCGCGGAAUUCCCGGUGUAGAGGUGAAAUUCGUAGAUAUCGGGAGGAACACCAGUGGCGAAGGCGGCGACCUGGGCCAAUAUUGACGCUGAGGUGCGAAAGCGUGGGGAGCAAACAGG